GAGUUUGAUCCUGGCUCAGAACGAACGCUGACGGCGCGUCUUAAGCAUGCAAGUCGAACGGUAAGAGAGGAGCUUGCUCUUCUCCUAGAGUGGCGGACUGGUGAGUAACGCGUAGGUGACCUACCCUGAAGAUGGGGAUAGCUAGUAGAAAUAUUAGAUAAUACCGAAUAAGCUCAUAGACGUAAACGGAUAUGAGGAAAGGAGCUACGGCUCCGCUUUAGGAUGGGCCUGCGUCCCAUUAGCUAAGUUGGUGAGGUAAAGGCUCACCAAGGCGACGGUGGGUAUCCGGCCUGAGAGGGUGAACGGACACAUUGGGACUGAGAUACGGCCCAAACUCCUACGGGAGGCAGCAGCUAAGAAUCUUCCGCAAUGGACGAAAGUCUGACGGAGCGACGCCGUGUGAAUGAAGAAGGCCGAAAGGUUGUAAAGUUCUUUUGCAGAUGAAGAAUAAGGGCAAGAGGGAAUGCUUGUCUGA
rnacentral:rRNA from 1 species